rnacentral:rRNA from 1 species
UACAGAGGGUGCGAGCGUUAAUCGGAAUUACUGGGCGUAAAGCGCGCGUAGGCGGCUUUUCAAGUCGAUUGUGAAAUCCCCGGGCUCAACCUGGGAACUGCAGUCGAGACUGUCUAGCUAGAGUAUGGGAGAGGGAAGUGGAAUUUCAGGUGUAGCGGUGGAAUGCGCAGAUAUCAGGAGGAACACCAAUAGCGAAGGCAGCUCGCUGGGACGGUACUGACGCUAAGGCGCGAAAGCGUGGGGAGCGAACAGG